rnacentral:piRNA from 1 species
UAGGUCUCAGACUUUCCACACA